rnacentral:lncRNA from 1 species
GAGACCACCAGAUGCCAGGGACUGAGAUCUGUGUCAUUCAUAGCCAUCAGGAGAAGACAUCACAAAAGGAAUGUUGACAGAACCCCUACAAACCCACAGAAGAACUAAAGAGAAGAAAAGCCAGAAUUUGGGCAUCCAACAGAGAGAUUUCACUGGCACUAGUGUUAUGAGACUUCUACUUUUCUGUGAAUCUUCUCCUUUCACGCCCUUCACCUUCCCUGGGGGCCAGAGUGAGUGGCUAAUUAGCCAGUAACAGGAAGGGGAGGUAGGGAGAAGUAGCCCAAACUGUGGGGGAAGCGAAUGCUUGAAUGGACUGAGAUAGUGAAGUUUUGAUUUAAGUUGGGAGAAGGGAAAUCCACUAAUGGAGAGAUUUGAGAAGAAAGAAGAAGUAUGUAGCAGUUAAUGGAGUUUGGAAAGAAAUCUUGAAAGAAGCCAGCAAGCAGUGUUGAUAAGAAGAAGCAAUGAUAAAAGUUCAGGGGUGUGGAUAAAGCCGAGAGGAUAGCAAGGGUGGAGUCUGGAGAGGUCCAUACAGAGGGGUCAAUAAUUUUAAAGAUGAAGGAGAUAGGGAAGACAAGGGAAGGGGGAACAAUGGUACUGUUGACAGAACUACUUUGUCCUAAAAUUUCUAUUGUAAAUUUGAUGUGUUGGUAUCAACCUGACCAUAUGAAUGCAACCCCAUUAAGUUGUAAACCCCAAAUACCAAUGCUAAGAACAACUUGGGGGUUCUCUGACCAGUGGCCUUUUUUUUUAUUGUGAAAUUCUUCAAUUUGAAAGGGGGCUUUCCAGUGGAAAUAAUAGACUGUAAAUUGUUUACUU